GAUGAACGCUGUCUACAGGCUUAACACAUGCAAGUCGAGGGGAAACGACGGGGAAGCUUGCUUCCCCGGGCGUCGACCGGCGCACGGGUGAGUAACGCGUAUCCAACCUGCCUCUGACUGAGGAAUAACCCGUCGAAAGUCGGCCUAAUACCUCAUGGCAUCGUCUGCGGGCAUCCAACGACGAUUAAAGAUUUCAUCGGUCAGGGAUGGGGAUGCGUCUGAUUAGCUUGUUGGCGGGGUAACGGCCCACCAAGGCUACGAUCAGUAGGGGUUCUGAGAGGAAGGUCCCCCACAUUGGAACUGAGACACGGUCCAAACUCCUACGGGAGGCAGCAGUGAGGAAUAUUGGUCAAUGGGCGGGAGCCUGAACCAGCCAAGUAGCGUGCAGGAUGACGGCCCUAUGGGUUGUAAACUGCUUUUAUGCGGGGAUAAAGUGAGGGACGUGUCCUUCAUUGCAGGUACCGCAUGAAUAAGGACCGGCUAAUUCCGUG
rnacentral:rRNA from 1 species